CCCAGGCUGCAACUUUCGCCCAACUCCCAGCCAGCUCCGAGGAGCCCUCGGGAGGGGAGCUGACAGCGCCAGAGAUUCUCCUUCCUCCGUUGCCUUUCUUUUCGGAUCUCAAUGGCCUCCACCGUCCCAUCCAACUGAACGUUGCUGCCGACUUCAUCUGGACUCUCGCAAGCCAAGGAUCUAGCCGCGGGGAGCUGGCUGGCUAAGCAUCGGUCGCCCGCCCGCCCCCCUCGCCCCUUCUAAAGGGCUGCUCGGUGUGCCGCAGGUUGGCCCUAGAGAUGAUGCAGCAGCAGCAGGACGAGUCCAAUUCUCCAGUCUCGCCCGCCGACGAAAGCUUGAGCAACAGCGAAGAGGAGCCCGAUCGCCAGCAGCAGCAGCAGCAACAGCAGCAGCAGCAACAGCAGCAGCUUCAAGGCGCCGGCAAACGAGGAGGACGGAAGAGGCGCUCGAGCCGUAGGGCAGCUGCAGGAGGCGGCGGCGGAGGCCCCGGAGGCGGCGGCGGAGUGACCGGCGGGGGACUCGGCUCGGCAGAGGAGCCGUGUAGCCCAGCGCAAGGCAAAAGAGGCAAGAAGUCGGGCGGCGGCGGCGGCGGCGGCGGCGGAGGGGGCAGCAGCAGCGGCGGGGGCAGCCCUCAGUCGUACGAAGAGCUUCAAACGCAGCGGGUGAUGGCCAACGUCCGCGAGCGCCAGCGCACGCAGUCGCUGAACGAAGCCUUCGCGGCUCUGCGCAAGAUCAUCCCGACGCUGCCGUCGGACAAGCUGAGCAAGAUCCAGACCCUCAAGCUGGCUGCCCGCUACAUCGACUUCCUCUACCAGGUUCUGCAGAGUGACGAGCUCGACUCCAAGAUGGCCAGCUGCAGCUAUGUGGCCCAUGAGCGUCUCAGCUACGCCUUCUCCGUUUGGCGCAUGGAAGGCGCCUGGUCCAUGUCCGCCUCCCACUAGCGUCCUGUGCAGCCUGGCGUGCCCGGAGACUUUAGCCACCUACUCUGAGCAUCAUUUAGCUGAUUCCAAGAAAAUACAUACAGGAUUGCUGAAUGAGACUCCGUGGGACAUUUCUCAGUAGCCACAGAAGCACUCUCCUUGAGGCUUACAGGAAAUAUCAGCAUGGAAUAUUGACUGUUAACUCAGAAGAUGAUGCCAGAUGUUAAUUUUACAAGGAGAGCUGCCAGCAUUCAUGUCUACUGGAAGUCAUAGCAUCAGAAGAGGAAGCCCUUGUUCUUCAGAAAUGGUCUAAGCAUAAUCAGUGAUGGAGAAAAUACACUCUGGUUACACUCAGAGAAACUAUUUUCACAUAGUCCUGGCAACUGGUCUAGUCAGGAACUGGAAUACCAUAAUUCUGGAAAACUCCAUUUCAGAAAAAAUCCAGGACAAUGCUCAUACCUCUUAGCGGUCCAAUUUCUCAAUAGGGAAAACAUACUUGUAUAUCUACAAAAACUGUUACUAAUGCUUAUAGCCAACAAAAUAUCAUUACACUUUGUCAACCUAAUUAUACACAAUUAUCCAGGUGACUUUGUUGUAGGGAAUGCCAAUGUUUUAGCAAACAGCACCAUGGCAGCUGAAUUAUGGAAAAACUUAGUACAAAUUUGGAUCUUGCGUAUUCCAAGAAUUUUCAAGAGAAGUUAAUUUCCUAAAGGAAAUCCCCUGCAGUGAUCAAACAUCAGAACAGUGAAACCAAAAUUCUAGAAAUAAUUAAGGAAAAAAGAAAAGUCAAAGCAAAACCAACUAUUGGGGCACUAGCUUUAGAGAAGAGGCCCUGUUCUUUUCUAUCACAGAAUAAUAAACUUUCCAAAACAUACUCCAGUUGGGUUUAGAAAAGGUAUGGAAAUCGGAAAGAGCAUUCCUUUAGAUUUCACCUUCUGAAUCACAUAAAACCUCAAGAAUCCAGCUACAGAUCUUGGCACAGGCUUUCCAAAAGUUACCAUGGACUAUUGUGCCAGUUGUGACCAUGGUUUCUCAAGCCAUUUCCAUUUUGGGCAGAAUGUGCUAUAAAGGAGGCUUUUUUUUUCCUGUGGUAUGAAAGAUUUAUACUUGUGUGGCAUUUUCUGUGAACUGCAACCAUUCAGGGGAAAUUUUGGAAUGGAAAGUCUUUUUUUUAAUGAAAAAAAUCAAGAUUUUUGUUGAGCCUUAAAUAGACAAUUUUUUAGAACCAACAACUUGGUGGCCACCAACAUUUGUCAAUUCAGUUCCAACUGUUUCUUCACAAAAUGGAGUUCCAUUUACUUGACUGAGCUAUUUUAAAAUAUUUGCACUGAAGCAAAGUCUUCCUAUAAAAUACAUCAGAGAUAACUCAGGGAUAACUCAGUUGUGAAGCUGAUGAGAACUCUGGAGGAAGUAGAUUAUCUAAAUCCACUUCAGUGCCACAGUUUGAUGCUUUCUCUUCUCCUGUUCAACAAUUACGUGAGGUCAGCGUACUAGUUUGGAGUUCAGUACGUACUCUGAUGAAAGUUAAUUAUAUCCUAUAUAAGAUAUAUCCCUGCUGCCCAGCAUUAUCCCUACUUGAGCUGAUUUAUUUCAUUGCAUGGUUAGCAGUGGACUCUUAGGGCUGAAAUUGAUAAUCUUUGGGAACUUUAACUUGUCACCAGGUGAUGUUGAGUAAGUGAGAUCAGGAAUUCAUGGAUUCUGGAUGGAUCUGUCCCAAAUGAUAGAAGGUCCUAUUUAUUCAGGAAGUCACAGACUAGAACUGAUUCUUAUCUUGGGACAGUUGCAAUGUGAUCUGUUUUUUUGAAAUAGCUCCAGCGGUGAAAUCCGGCUGGAUCUAUCUAUCUGGCUCGUGUGAACCAAUAGUGCCAGCAGCGGGAGGCUCCACCCUCCCGCCGGGACAUCAUUAUGUCCCAUUUUUGACCCUCUGCCUAUGCGCAGAAGGCUCUGUGCAUGCGCAGAAAAAGCAUGUGUGCUCACAUUGCUGAACCAGUAGUGAAGUAAGUGCAUUUCACCGCUGGAUAGCUCCCUCUUUGAUUCUGUCUAAUUCUCUGGGCAGCCACUUCUGCAGUCUGUCCUGUCCUGUCCUAGGCCAGAGUUGCCCAAUCUUUCCAGUUUUGAGGAUUUGGGGGGAGAGGUGAGUAGUAUGAGUAGUAGGCAAGCACACAUGCACGCACGCAAGUGGUGGACACGUGCACCUACUGCUCACACAAAUGGAGCAUGUGCACACGUUCCCCACUCCUUGUGCCACUGGGGAUGCGUGGAUACAUGUGCUCGCCCACUACUUCUGCAGCCUGGUUCCAAUCCACUCAAGGCCCAGUAGUGGGCCAAGGCACGGGAGUUAGGGACCUCAUGGAUGUGGUUGGAUUCCAGAGGGACUUCAGUUUUUUCUGAGGACCAGUGAGGCACUUUGGCCAAGGCCUUGGCUGCAGCCUGGAAUAAACAUAUGAUGGAGACCUUGAGUAGAUUGCUCUUCUGCAGCUUUCUCUAUGCAUCAAUUCCAUAUGCUCCCUGGUUUUCUAAUGAGUUCUGGGAAAUGAAGUGCCAGAAAUGACAUCCAGAGCACAAUUGAGAAAGGCAAAGAGCAAAUUACAUUGAACAUAUUUGGGCACAUAAUAUGGUGGUGAGGGUCAUGAAACAUUGGUUCAUACAUUCUUAUUCCAUUUGCCGAUAAUCUUUAGGAUGACCCACUCUUUAUUGCCGUGGCUUGCACCUCAUCUCCAGGGUUCUAAUGAGAAAUAUUCAUGUGGCAGAUAAAGUUACUCAGAUUUGCUUGGAGUUGGACCAUGAUUGGGUAAGUCCUAAAGAGUUGUCUUGUGAUGAUUUCUGAAUUGCAUUUGAUUCAGUAAUGCCUAAGGAAGUGGACAAGAUCCUUUUGCCCAUAAAUCCAACUACCAAUUUUUACUACUGAAGGUCCAUUGAGAUCUAUUUAUUUUUGCCAAAAGGAUAAAUUGAGUUUCUCAGAAACAAACUGAUAUACAAAGCAAAUAGACAAUAUAUUACUUUUCAGAUGUUCUAUUGUUCUGUCUUUUAGAGAGUACAUAACCAUUAUUUACCAUUUAAUCAUCCCACUUCUCUUUAAUUUGCUUAAGAAUGUAUUUUCCUCUCAUUAAAGCCUUUGUAGUGGCUGUUGCCAAGAGUUUUCCCACCCACCAGUGUUCUGCACUUUAUCCUUGUGGUUCUUUUAUGACCUCUUGAUUAAUUUUCAUUGAUAUGCUUCCAACAAUAGCAUCUAAAAUUAACCGGGUCAUUUUUAAAAAAAUACAACUUCCUGAGUCAUCAAGCUUGGUGUCCUAAAUAAAUACAUCCAUACAAGAAUAAAAUAAUAGUUCACUCUUCUAGAAUCAGGCUGUGAGCAUUGAAAAAAAUGGUGCUAUUUCUCCUCUAUUUAUUAUUACCAAUUUAUUUAUUACAUUUUCUCAUUGCUUAUCUUCCUUGUAGAAUUCAAAGUGACAUGCAAGGGUAUUACCUGAAUUAGUCAACAAGUGGUUUGGUCAAUACUUCACAAUAGACUAAAAUUAUAUUGACAGACAGAAAAUAUAAUCAGCUUUAUACACUGAAUAUCUUAUGGAAGUCCCAGAUCCCAGCCAGUUUGGUGCAUAUCUUCCAGGUGCACAAUAGCACACUGAACUCAUUUGUGCAAAGUGCCCUGAAGAAAGCAGCUAGUCCUGGUUCUCAUUUCACUGACUUUGAACUCCUUCCACUGGCCCUGGCUUUCCACUCCAUAUUCCUUUGAUACCAUGAUAUAUACUUCCGGGUGGGCUGGAAGAACAAGCAUUGCCAAGUCCAAGGUAAACCAGAGCACACUUACCCAAGGUAAGCCAGACUGCAUUGGGACAGCUAGCUAUCUCUGAAGGAGAUGUCUUCCAUUUCAGGCUAUCAACUCAACAACCACUUCCCAUAAACUGGAAUGAUAGGCCUUGAUAACUGCUCAUGGUUGCAGUUAUAACACCUUGAAACCUGGCAAUUAGGUUGUCUCCAAUGAGCUGCUAGCAACUGGGAAAAAAUAAUGAAGGACCUAAAGAACAAUUACCAUCCUUCACCUACCCAAUACUUAAUCUUUCGCAACUCAAAUUUCCAAAAUUUAGCAGAUGUAGAGAAACGAAGGAUCUUCAGCAAAUAGUCCAUGGAAAAAAGAAUCAGAAUAUUUGUAAUACUUGUAAUUAUUUAAUAAUCCUACUCAGAUACUCCAAAUCCAAAUACUCACCACAGUACUGCAAGAUGAUAGCCUGCUAAGAAAUCAAUACACAUUCAUUUGUAUAUAGAAAUCUUCUUUCCUGUACAUUUAUAUUAAAACGUAUCAUUUAAAUUACACUGGUGAAAUGAAACUUAAUCAAAGUUCAAGUGUUACAAUACCUGAAU